CCUACGGGAGGCUGCAGUGGGGGAUAUUGGACAAUGGGGGGAACCCUGAUCCAGCGACGCCGCGUGAGUGAAGAAGUAUUUCGGUAUGUAAAGCUCUGUCAGCAGGGAAGAAAGCAAUGACGGUACCUGACCAAGAAGCCCCGGCUAACUACGUGCCAGCAGCCGCGGUAAUACGUAGGGGGCAAGCGUUAUCCGGAAUUACUGGGUGUAAAGGGAGCGUAGACGGCUGUGCAAGUCUGGAGUGAAAGGCGGGGGCGCAACCCCCGGACUGCUCUGGAAACUGUAUGGCUGGAGUGCAGGAGAGGUAAGCGGAAUUCCUAGUGUAGCAGUGAAAUGCGUAGAUAUUGGGAGGAACACCAGUGGCGAAGGCGGCUUACUGGACUGUAACUGACGUUGAGGCUCGAAGGCGUGGGGAGCAAACAGGAUUAGAUACCCGGGUAGUC
rnacentral:rRNA from 1 species